CGAGGGCAAUAUCAAUCCACAGAAGAAAAGAGUGGGACUUUCUUUGUUCCUUGUUCUCAGAAAAUGGGGUUGCACGUGGUCUCCAUACCUCUUAUUAUCAAUAUAAGUGAUAUCAUCAGUGCUAACUACAACCAGUCUACAACCCAGAGAAGUGGCAGCUCCGGGCAGUGACUUCACCCUUAGCUGCUCUUUCCCUUCAUCUAAAACCCUGAAUCUCAACCACCUGGUCAUCAACUGGCAGCGUGAAGAAUCCGAGGUGGUCCACAGCUAUUACCAAGGGAGAGGUCAGCUAGAAAGACAGAGUGUUGUUUACAAGGGACUCAUCUGUUUGAAGACCAGCUCGCUGUGGGAAAUGCCUCACGUAGACUGAGUGGUGUGCAGCCGAGUGACUAGGGCCCAUACACCUGUGAUGUUACAGAUGAACAGGCUAGCACCCAGGAAAAGCUGGGGUAUCCCCAGCCAGAGCGACCAUGGGAAGGUGUGAUGGGCAAAUACAUCACCACUAUGGAGUUGGACAGCAGGGGGCGCUAUGAGCUGGAGAGUGAAGUGACCCUGAGGCUGAACAGCACUCUGACUGUUACAGCCAAGCUGAGACUGAGGGUUCUGGACCAGAGUUUUACUAAGUCUCUCACACUCCACCCACCACCAGGUACACAGGGUUCCAAGUGUGCUGUGUGAUGCCUGCUGAGCAGAGGAGAAGAUUGUUGAUGUAUCCACUGCUGCUAAUGCUGUUGGAAGAGGUCUGAGCAGGAGACCAAAAUGGAUAAGAAAACACAAGAAUAUAAGUUUUAACCAGCCCCCUACAAGGAGCCCCGGCUCUCUGUACAGUCAUCCUGUGACAGCUUCAUCAUCACCCUCAACUCCUCCCAGGGUUUCUCCCAGCCUGAUGUGUGGUGGACGGAUUCAUCCUAAAUAUGGAUUUGACAUUUCACUUUGAGGGCAAAUGAGUCAUAUGAGCAUUGUGUAUAGAUGUACUUCAUGCAAGAAUAACACCAUUGCAGAGUGCAACUUUCCAUGACAGGAACUGUUUACAAUGCCCUCAAUGAAAGGUUCAGUGGCCAGGCAGUACUACUAGAGGAACAGGUCUCUGGGAUGUGAAGCUGAAAGCCUGUCUCUUUCUCUCUUCUCCUCCUCUUCAACAGAAUGCUGUGAGCUGCCUCUUGCAACCGGGGGCAGACCGGCUUUGGUAUUAUUAGGGAUAAGUCCCGCUUUGCCAUGCAAAUGAACUGAAUCCCCAAAAACAUUUCCACUGCAUUUCAGCCCUGCCACAAAAGGACCAGCUGACAUCAUGUCAGUGAUUCUCUCGUUAACACAGGUGUGAGUGUUAACGAGAACAAGGCUGGAGAUCACUCUGUCAUGCUGAUUGAGUUUGAAUAAUAGAUUGAAAGUUUCAAAAGGAGGGUGGUGCUUGGAAUCAUUGUUCUUCCUUUGUCAACCAUGGUUACCUAUAAGGAAAAGCAUGCCGUCAUUGCUUUGCACAAAAAGGGCUUCACAGGCAAGGAUGCUGCUGCCAGUAAGAUUGCACUUAAAUCAAUCACUUAUCGGAUCAUCAAGAACUUAGAGGAGAGCAGUUCAAUUGUUGUGAAAAGGCUUCAGGGUGCCCAAGAAAGUCCAGCAAGCGCCAGGACUGUCUCCUAAAGUUGAUUCAGCUGCGGGAUCGGGGCACCACUAGUACAGAGCUUGCUCAGGAAUGGCAGCAGGCAGGUGUGAGUGCAUCUGCAUGCACAGUGAGGCGAAGACUUUUGGAAGAUGGCCGGGUGUCAAGAAGGGCAGCAAAGAAGCCACAGGAAAAACAUCAGAGACAGACUGAUAUUCUGCAAAAGGUACAUGGGUUUGUCUGCUGAGGACUGGGGUAAAGUCAUCUUCUCUGAUGAAUCCCCUUUCCGAUUGUUUGGGGCAUCCGGAAAAAGCUUGUCUGGAGAAGACAAAGGUGAGUGCUACCAUCACUCCUGUGUCAUGCCAACAGUAAAGCAUCCUGAGACCAUUCAUGUGUGGGGUUGCUUCUUAGCCAAGGGAGUGUGGGCUCGCUCACAAUUUUACCUAAACACAGCCAUGAAUAAAGAAUGGUACCAACACAUCCUCCGAGAGCAACAUCUCCCAACCAUCCAGGAAGAGUUUGGUGGCGAACAAUGCCUUUUCCAGCAUGAUGGCGCACGUUGCCAUAAGGCAAAAGUGAUAACGAAGUGGCUCGGGGAACAAAACAUUGAUAUUCUGGGUCCAUGGCCAGGAAACUCCCCAGACCUUAAUCCCAUUGAGAAUUUGUGGUCAAUCCUCAAGAUGUGAGUGGACAAACAUAACCCCACAAAUUCUGACAAACUCCAAGCAUUGAUUAUGCAAGUAUGGGCUGCCAUCAGUCAGGAUGUGGCCCAGAAGUUAAUUGACAGCAUGCUAGGGAAGAUUGCAGAGGUCUUGAAAAAUAAGGGUCAACACUGCAAAUACAGUGCAUUGCGAAAGUAUUCAGCCCCCUUGAACUUUGCAACCUUUU